AUGCGGGUAGCGUGGCCGAGCGG
rnacentral:piRNA from 2 species